UUAUAAAUAUUAAUAAGGGUUGUAAUUGCAUGGUGAAGUGAGUAGAAUAAGUAGAUGUAGUUGAGAUGAGUUGAUAGCUGUAUAGGAGUUGUUAUAGUAGUUGAAGUAGUUGUUAUAAUUGAUGGGAACAGUUAGUUAGUGGAAGAGAUGAUGUAUAAAUAAUUGAAGAGAUGUAACAGAGGACUAUCUAAGAAAUAUCAAUAUUGCAAUCAAUUUUUCUCUCUAAUUCUCGCUAUCUUCCUUCUUCUCCUAUUUCCCUUCCUCUUUCUUUCUCUUAUCUCUCUCUAAUUUCUGCUCUU
rnacentral:misc_RNA from 1 species